GCACUGCUGAGGAGUCCCACAAUAGGACGAAACGGCCGUUCGUUGC
rnacentral:hammerhead_ribozyme from 1 species